AAUGAAGUGCCUGAGUAAAGGAUUAUUUUGAUAGAAUAAAUUACACAAUUAAUUUGUCUUCAUUA
rnacentral:tRNA from 1 species